UACGGAGGUGGCAAGCGUUGCUCGGAAUCACUGGGCGUAAAGGGCGCGUAGGCGGGGAGGUAAGUCGGGUGUGAAAUCCCUCGGCCCCAACCGAGGAACUGCGCCCGAGACUGCUUCUCUUGAGUCCCGGAGAGGAAGAUGGAAUUCCCGGUGUAGCGGUGAAAUGUGUAGAGAUCGGGAGGAACACCGGUGGCGAAGGCGGUCUUCUGGACGGUGACUGACGCUGAGGCGCGAAAGCGUGGGGAGCAAACGGG
rnacentral:rRNA from 1 species